rnacentral:rRNA from 1 species
GACAGAGGGGGCAAGCGUUGCUCGGAAUUACUGGGCGUAAAGGGCGCGUAGGCGGGAUGGCAAGUCGGUCGUGAAAUCCUUCGGCUCAACCGAAGAACGUCGGCCGAUACUGCCGUUCUUGAGGGAUGCAGAGGAGAUUGGAAUUCCCGGUGUAGCGGUGAAAUGUGUAGAGAUCGGGAGGAACACCGGUGGCGAAGGCGGGUCUCUGGGCAUCUCCUGACGCUGAGGAGCGAAAGCGUGGGGAGCGAACAGG